GAUGAACGCUGGCGGCGUGCCUAAUACAUGCAAGUCGAGCGAACAGAUAAGGAGCUUGCUCCUUUGACGUUAGCGGCGGACGGGUGAGUAACACGUGGGUAACCUACCUAUAAGACUGGAAUAACUCCGGGAAACCGGGGCUAAUGCCGGAUAACAUUUAGAACCGCAUGGUUCUAAAGUGAAAGAUGGUUUUGCUAUCACUUAUAGAUGGAUCCGCGCCGUAUUAGCUAGCUGGUAAGGUAACGGCUUACCAAGGCAACGAUACGUAGCCGACCUGAGAGGGUGAUCGGCCACACUGGAACUGAGACACGGUCCAGACUCCUACGGGAGGCAGCAGUAGGGAAUCUUCCGCAAUGGGCGAAAGCCUGACGGAGCAACGCCGCGUGAGUGAUGAAGGUCUUCGGAUCGUAAAACUCUGUUAUUAGGGAAGAACAAAUGUGUAAGUAACUGUGCACGUCUUGACGGUACCUAAUCAGAAAGCCACGGCUAACUACGUG
rnacentral:rRNA from 1 species